GACGAACGCUGGCGGCGUGCCUAAUACAUGCCAGUCGAGCGAACCAAUAAGAAGCUUGCUUUUUGUUGGUUAGCGGCGGACGGGUGAGUAACACGUGGGUAACCUGCCUGUAAGACCGGGAUAACUCCGGGAAACCGGUGCUAAUACCGGAUAGAUUAUCUUUCCGCAUGGAGAGAUAAGGAAAGAUGGCUAUUGCCAUCACUUACAGAUGGGCCCGCGGCGCAUUAGCUAGUUGGUGAGGUAACGGCUCACCAAGGCGACGAUGCGUAGCCGACCUGAGAGGGUGAUCGGCCACACUGGGACUGAGACACGGCCCAGACUCCUACGGGAGGCAGCAGUAGGGAAUCUUCCGCAAUGGACGAAAGUCUGACGGAGCAACGCCGCGUGAGCGAAGAAGGUCUUCGGAUCGUAAAGCUCUGUUGUUAGGGAAGAACAAGUAUCGGAGGAAAUGCCGGUACCUUGACGGUACCUGACGAGAAAGCCACGGCUAACUACGUG
rnacentral:rRNA from 1 species